CAACAACCGUAUUAUCUCUUUGCUGGAAAUAUGGAGCUUGUUAGUAGUUCACACUCCUUCAGAAGGUUUAAUCAUAACUAGCCGGAAAUUUAUUAGAAGUGAAAUAAAAUCUUAUAAAAUCAUAUAAGAUGAAAAGUGUCUGUGUAAACGGUAAUGUUAUGAUUUGGUUUAGUCCUAAUAGAGAAGUCUGCUUAGGCUUAUUAAAGUGUCAUUGUGGUUCUUCAGUGUACUGCUGUCAUGAUUGACCGUUAUAUGGCACGAGGACUCCUGCUUUAAUGCUGUUCAGAUGAUAAUAACGGGGUUCCAGAAAGUUCUCUGCUCUCAGCUACAGCUACAGUAUGUUUUCAUACAGAACUGCAGUGAGAAAUUAAGAGGAUUCUACAGCCCGGUACAAUGGACAAUGUUUUCAGAAGCGUAGAGACAUUUAUAAGACAGGUUGUACAUCUGUGAAGGAUACGGAGACCUGAAAAGAAUAAAUGAAUCCACAAGACUGCCUCACCGUGCCUCGCUCGCUCGCUUCCCCCAACUGCCUCACCGUGUCCCUCGCUCCCAUCACCUGCCUCGCCAUGUGCCUCGCUCCCAUCACCUGCCUCGCCAUGUGCCUCGCUCCCAUCACCUGCCUCGCCAUGUGCCUCGCUCACAUCACCUGCCUCGCCUGGUGCCUCGCUACCCCCACCUGCCUCGCUGUGUGCCUUUCUCCCCCCACCUGCCUCCCCAUGUGCCUCCCUCCCCCCUCCUGGAUCUCGCCGGGAUCGUGGUCCCCUCAGAUAUGGUUUAACCAGGGAGCGAAAAUGUCCCGCCUCCAUGACGACGGAGCCGAAAAGUAUAAAUAGCUUCACCCUCAAAUUUUACACCAUUUUGUGUUCUCACUAGGACCAGUGGAACUAAAAUAAAAUAAUCCAUGAUUUUAUUUUAAUUAUGUGGUUUAUGUGAAAAUAUUAGACUAAAGUAAGACAUGCUUGAUGUAGAUCAGAUCAAACUUGUGAUGGAGACGAGCCCAGGCCUCAGCAAUGGCCGUGGUGUUGCUCAGCAUGCACACAGCCCUCUGUACUGUACCAUGGACGACCUUUUAUUUAUUUAUCAAUUUUUUUUUGUCUAUUUGUAUUAGGGCUGAAACGAUUCCUCGAGUAACUCAAUUACAAAAAUGAAUCGAUGCAAAUUCCUCUGCCUCAAAGCCUCUUAAUUCAUUUAUAUAUUAUUAAUUAUAUAAUAUAUAAUGUAAUGUAAUUAAUAUAAUUAAUCUUUUAGAUAGCAAACUAAUGUUCUAUCUACUGUGAAACUAUAUAAAUUAAAAUAAAUUCCUGAUAAAAUAAAGUUAUGGUCAUUUCAGUAUUUCAGACUAUUAAUUCAAUAAAAGAGAAACACGAUGGUUAAAACUGUAUGAAGAAAGAAAAGGGGUAGAAUUUUGAGCGGGAAAUUAUAAACCAAAAACUUAUUAAAUAUUAAUAAUGUAUAAA